GGUACCCUUGGUCCCUUGAUUUCAUUUGCACUGAGCAGUCUGCUCUGCCUUCAAACUGCCCUAACCUAGUGGGACUUUGGUAAUCGGAGUCCUGUAACUGACGUGUGGUUUGCAUUAAAUAUCUGCUUCCCUUAAUGCUCAGGACACUCUGCUGUAGGAUGAGGUUUGCAUAGAUACAUGUAGGGAAGAAAAAAAGAUUAGCCUGCUAACGGCAGAAGCCCUCUCUGCUUUCAGGUCCCCUUUGGCUUGAUGACUAUGCUGGAUGUUGUGGUAUUUUCUGCCCUGUGCCAGUAUCUCUGAAAGCUUGCCUGAACAUCUCUGUGUCUUACCAGGUGCCAUUAGUAGUUUAAAUCAACCUGAAUGUGUGUCCUGUUCAGAGUGCAAUGUGUUGUUUCUCACAGCUGAGCAGCACUCUGCCUUCCCAGCAGCAGUUCACCGCAGAGCACGUUGCUCAUUCCUGGCUCCAGCUCUGAGCUAAGCUGGUAGCCCAGGUUGAGGAGGUCAAACCUGCUGUCUGAUAACAGAUGAAGGUGAGAUGUGAUGGCCCAGCCCCUGGCACCAUAUCUGGGUGUUGAGGCAAUGCCAGCACCAUUUGGCUGCUCCUUCAGGCUGUGCUGCUGCCCUCUUCUAGGGGCAGGCAUUGCCUUCAGCUCCUUUCUGCACACAGGAAACAGGGUGGAGAGCUUUGGUUUUAUUUUAUGUCUUUAUCUGUAAGGAAAACAAAUUUGUUAUCUGUAGUGAGGAGCAAAGGGUCAUCUUGUUCAAAGCCUUUGCUUUUCAAGUGUUUUUCUAGCACUAUUAUAUUCCAAAGUAACAAGCAAGCAGUACUGCUUGGUGGAGUUCACAGAGCCUCAGUUCUUAAUGCCCUGAGCACACUGCUAAAUCAAGACAGAAAUUGAUUUGAGACUGUUUGAAGAUGACAGCUCUGGAUUAAGCUUAAUUGACCAUCAUGAUUUUACAUCGACUCAGAUGAGCCAAGGCGCAAGUGGUGCCCUGGCUGGCUGGGGCUGUUGGUCGCAUGAUGAUGACAGAGGACAAAUUCGUCUCCAGAACUCACCUGGCAGCCAGCUUCCCCGUGUCCUUGCUGGAGAAGAGCUGGCAGGACGUGUGCUGUGUAUCGAUAAAACCAGAGGGAAACCCUGGGACCUCUCCGACCAGAGCUGGAAAUUAACUCGAUGCGAUUGUGUACGCAAUUUCUCUGCUCUGCUGCAGACUCAUCCAAGCCGUGGUGUUUGUGUGUCCCCUCCUGCAGUAAUGCUGGGGCUGGGGAAGCCAUCCUGUGACCACAUUUUGGUGACAAACUGUGAAUCACACACGGGUGUAAUCCCCAGUACGCCGAGGCUGGUGCAGGUUUGGGCUGAGAGCUGGUGGCUGUGUUGGGAAAGGCUCAGCAGCCUUUUAUCAGCCUGAAAUUUCAAAUUCAACCAGAAGAAGCAAAACCAUUCUUUCUCCUCUGUUUUGCCAGCGAGCUUUUAAUCAU
rnacentral:lncRNA from 1 species